rnacentral:lncRNA from 1 species
UCCAUCGCCAAGCUAGAUCCCAAAUGGGGCAACUAGCUAAUGCACUGAACAAGCGAGAGGAAAGAAAGCUUGCAAGCUAACCAGUGAGUAAUCCUAGGGGACAAUACAUGGCUCAAGAAAAUCAACUAAAUACAAUUCAUCAUGAACAAGCCAAUACUUUGACUACCCUAAGGAGUGGACGUGUAGUAGACAAUAAGAUUGGGGAGGAUAACAAUAAGGAAGGUGAAGAAGAGGAUAGAAAUGUGUCAAAU